UACGGAGGGUGCGAGCGUUGUCCGGAAUCACUGGGCGUAAAGGGUGCGUAGGUGGCGCUGUAAGUCGGGUGUGAAAUCCUGGGCUUAACCCGGAACUGCAUUCGAUACUGCAGUGCUUGAGGACUGGAGAGGAGACUGGAAUUCAAUGGUGUAGCAGUGAAAUGCGUAGAGAUCAUGAGGAAGACCAGUGGCGAAGGCGGUCUCUGGACAGUUCCUGACACUGAGGCACGAAGGCCAGGGGAGCAAACGGG
rnacentral:rRNA from 1 species